GACGAACGCUGGCGGCGCGCUUAACACAUGCAAGUCGAACGGAAAGGCCUGCUUUCCCUUGUGGAUUGCGGGUACUCGAGUGGCGAACGGGUGAGUAACACGUGAGUGAUCUGCCCCCAACUUGGGUAUAAGCCUGGGAAACUGGGUCUAAUUCCCGAUAGGACUGCAGGGUGGUGCCUGUGGUGGAAAACGAUUUUCUAGUGGUUGGGGAUGAGCUCGCGGCCUAUCAGCUUGUUGGUGGGGUAAUGGCCUACCAAGGCGGCGACGGGUAGCCGGCCUGAGAGGGUGGACGGCCACAUUGGGACUGAGAUACGGCCCAGACUCCUACGGGAGGCAGCAGUGGGGAAUAGUGCACAACGGGCGGAAGCCUGAUGCAGCGACGCCGCGUGGGGGAUGACGGCCUUCGGGUUGUAAACUCCUUUCGACCGCGAGGAAGCCACCUGGUUGGAAGGGUGGUGACGGUAGUGGUAGAAGAAGCACCGGCUAACUACGUG
rnacentral:rRNA from 1 species